UACGAAGGGGGCUAGCGUUGUUCGGAAUUACUGGGCGUAAAGCGCACGUAGGCGGAUAUUUAAGUCAGGGGUGAAAGUCCCAGAGCUCAACUCUGGAACUGCCUUUGAUACUGGGUAUCUUGAGUAUGGAAGAGGUAAGUGGAAUUGCGAGUGUAGAGGUGAAAUUCGUAGAUAUUCGGAAGGAACACCAGUGGCGAAGG
rnacentral:rRNA from 1 species